rnacentral:rRNA from 1 species
UUGCUCUUCAACGAGGAAUGCCUAGUAAGCGCGUGUCAUCAGCACGCGUUGAUUACGUCCCUGCCCUUUGUACACACCGCCCGUCGCUACUACCGAUUGAAUGGCUCAGUGAGGCCUUCGGACUGGCUCGAGGAGGUUGGCAACGACCACCUCGAGCCGGAAAGUUCGUCAAACUCGGUCAUUUAGAGGAAGUAAAAGUCGUAACAAGGUUUCCGUAGGUGAACCUGCGGAAGGAUCAUUACUGCUUGCUCAUGGCCGGCUUGGUGGGGAAACCCGCCAGACGGUACGGCAACACACCCUUGACUAUCAUACCCAUUGUUAUUUCCCUCGGUGGGGCAACCCGCCGCUGGGGACACCGUAAAUCCUCUUGUAUAAAGCAUAAACUUCUGAAACAAACCUAAAAUAUCACAACUUUCAACAAUGGAUCUCUUGGUUCUGGCAUCGAUGAAGAACGCAGCGAAAUGCGAUAAGUAGUGUGAAUUGCAGACUUUAGUGAAUCAUCGAAUCUUUGAACGCACAUUGCGCCCCUUGGUAUUCCAUUGGGCAUGCCUGUUCGAGCGUCAUUUACACCCUCAAGCUCCGCUUGGUGUUGGGCGUCUGUCCCCGCUUCACGCGAGGACUCGCCCCAAAUUGAUUGGCAGCAGCAUCGUCGGCUUCUUGCGCAGCACAAUGCGCUCUGGGAGGCUUGCGGCGGGCUAGCGACCACGAAGAUACCACCCAGUUUGACCUCGAAUCAGGUAGGGAUACCCGCUGAACUUAAGCAUAUCAAUAAGCGGAGGA